CCUCUGCUGCCAAAAUGGACUUGCCAUAAGCCUGCACUUCUUGAGCUAGGAAUUAUCUUGUCCUUUACUGGCUGUCUGGCCGCCAUGUUCUAAUGAAGGGGUUGACAUGGUUUAUGGUCAAAACCACGCCGAAGGUUAUUCCGACCCGAAAAAUUAACCAUGUCCAACUUUUUAUUCAACUGUAUGCCCCUAGGUAGCUAACUGACUGUUUAUUCACUCACUGUAUAUUCUCUUAUUUAAAUUCCAGAUUUUCUCUGUUUAUCUCUUACUAUGACUUUUAGACACUGCACCCUCUAUAAUGAAGGUCUGGAGGGGUUACCCCAGCUAAGAAAAUGUGGAAUUAAUGGUUCAUUUGCCCCCGGGAUUUAGCAGCGUGCAGGCUACCCCUAGCAUAAAUACUGAGUAUCUAAGAGUCUCUACUAUUUUCAGUAGAGAUGCUGCUGAUUGAAUUAUCCGAGAUAUCUGUAUUCAUUACAAUAGAUCAGAAUAUUAUACAGUUUAAUAUAUCAAUAUCGUUGCUUCAAGCUGCUCAGUUCUGUAUGUGAAUACAGCUAUAUCUAUAUCUGAGAAUAGUCAAGAACGGAGG
rnacentral:sRNA from 1 species